UCUGUAAAGGUCUGUAAAUACAUUACUUUAUAACAGUUUCUAAAAUUUUUAGAAACACCCCUGUAUUCUAUUGCGAGCUGUAGGUGAUGUGCAAUCACUCCCAUGAGAUUCAAAGAAGAAAGAGAUUUUACACUUUUCGAUUUUAUCUUUUCGUUUGCGAGAUAUAUGCAUUUGAAUAGUGAUUUUGGUGGAAAAAAGUUGGGACAACUUAGCCCAGAAAAGAGUGGAGGUAGAUUACCGCCAAUCUCACUGUCAUGAAGUGAUAUAUAAAGAUAUAGAGAUAAGAUCUGUAAAGGUGUGUAAAAACAUUAUUUUAUAAAAGUUUCUAAGAUUUUUAGAAACACCCCAAUAUUCUAUUGCGAGCUGUAAGGUUAUAUGCAACCACUCCCAUGAGAUUCAAAGAAGAAAGAGAUUUUCCACUUUUCAAUUUUAUCUUUUCGUUUGCGAGAUAUACGGAUUUGAAUAGCGAUUUUGGUGGAAAAAAGUUUGGACAAUAUUGCCCAGAAAAAGGUGCAGGCAGUCAGCAGAUUACCGCCAAUCUCACUGUCAUGAAAUGAUAUAUAAAGAUAGAGAUAAGAUCUGUAAAGAUCUGUAAAA